rnacentral:rRNA from 1 species
AAGUGAAUACAUAGCUUAAUGAGGGGAACUCAGGGAACUGAAACAUCUAAGUACCUGAAGGAAGAGAAAGAAAUUCGAUUCCGUAAGUAGCGGCGAGCGAACGCGGAUUAGCCCAAACCAAUAAAGUUUUCUUUAGUGGGGUUGCGGACAUAUCAUAACGAAGAGGUAUCGUAAUUGAAGAGGUUUGGAAAGACCCACCACAGAAGGUAAUAGUCCUGUAUGUUAAACGAGAAGACUU